CCCCUCCCCGGGGCUGUCCCGGCGCUCUGGGAUGCCAUCCUGCUUUCCCACGGGUGCCAUCGCCCCCGAUCCCUCCGGCCCCGCCGCUGAGGUCGGAGGGGGAUGAGCAUCGCUGCGCUUCCCUCGACGGGAGCGCCAAGGGAGGAAUUCGCUUAAACUCUCUUCUAGAAGUGUAGUUUUGCCGCCCGUCUCCCAACAGCCGCCGUUCAUUAACUUUGGAUAAGGAAUUGCCCGAAAUUAAACAAACAAACCCCGCCGGUGUCUUCGCUCGUACCGCGGGCGGAAGGGGCUGCAGGGCGCGGGGCGAGAUUUGGUGAAUAAAAGUCAUUUUCGCCUUAGUGCUCCGGGGCAGCCUGAACGAAAAGCGCAUCCUUUUGCCGAGAAAAAGCUCUCGGUGUUCAUAACGAUCCCGACACCCGGGAUCUAACAGGGGCCAGCUCCGGCAAAUCUUCUGGUCCGGGGCAAAGCACACGUGUAACAACAAAAAUACAGUCAAUGGAGCGGGAUGGUUUAGAGACUUUGUCUAAAUACCAGGUACAUGAGAUGUACAUUUCAUCCCCCGUUCUUAAAAGGAGUUGUUAUUCAGUUUUCUGCUGGUAAAAAUUACAAAAAGAAAAAUAGUGCCCUUUCCUGGUGUAUACACGAAGCGCUCUCUGCAAGCGCCGGGUGUCUUGGUCUGACAACAGGAUUUGGGGCAGAGAGGAGCGUUUGGGAAAAGUCUUUGCAUUUUAUGUCUUCCAUAAAAUAUCUAUAAAAGCACAUGUAAACCAGUGAAGCUUUCCCGAGCUGACUUCAAUCCCAAAUUUUCAUCCCGUGCGUGAUUUGAGCAGGGAAAUAAUAGCCGAAGGAUUUCCAACUUUGUAUUUCGUUUUGAAACAAGUGAAAAAACCUUUUUUGAGACAGAAAAUAACUGAAAAAAGUGUCUGGGUUAAAGAAUUAGGAUUUGGGGUUUUUUUCACUUUAAUCAUAAAGAGUUGUUUUGGGGGGGGUUGUUGGUUUUUUUUUUUGUUUUUUUUUGUUUCUUGGAUUUUUGUGUGUGUGCGCGCGUGUGGUUUUUUUUUUUUUCUUUUUCUGUUGUUAUUUUGUUUGUCACUGUUGCUUUUGCUGAUUUUAUUCUGCACCCCUUGGGAAAACAGCUUUCCGUGUAUAUUUGGAUGCCCAGAACAGCAGGAGAAAAUUUUACAUUACGUUUCACAAGGUGCUUUUUCCCUUCUCAGAUUCCUUCUCUUUAAGAUUUAUAACAGCUCCUCAUCUUUUUUAGAGCAGGGUCGCGGCGGAAAAUGCCGGUUUGAAUUCUGACGGGACAGCAGGCAUCCAAAACAAACAGUUUACAGAGGAAUCACAGCUAGAAAGGACAUUUAAAGGACAAGAAACAGGUAGACUUUUAAGAAGCAAUUUUCCUCUAAGUCUGAAGAGCUAAGCCGAAAAUAUUAUUCUCUAAAAUUGCAACAAAUCUGUGUUUAUCCGUUUGGCCAAAACCCCCGCGAUCGUUGCAGCAGGGAGAGGAGCAGUCAGUGGUAUCGCCGUAUCGCUCGAAAUUGAGGUUUUUGCUCCAGGGAUUUGAUGUUUUUGGGCAAAGGCAGAGCCAUCUAGAGGAGCAGCCCGGCUAUGGCGAGGCGGGGAAGGCAGUUUCCCUCACAGGCAUGGGGUGCUGCUGCCUUCGAGCUUCCCUUAGCUGAUUUGUCUGCCUCCAACAAAGGAAACGGGUUAGAAAAUAAUGCUGAAUUAGCUCUAAUAAAAACGCGUGUCCUCAGAAAACUCCAGCUUGCUUUACCAAAUAGUAAGGAAUGUGAAACAAAAAUAGCUUUAGAGAGGUUAUUACAUAGCUGGGAUGGCAUGGAUAUACAAACCAGCACUUAAUUUAAAGAGUGGAGAGAAUAAAGCUUUGAUGCUGUGACGGCUGUAAAAACAUUUAAUUUUCUUAAUGCAUUUAUCCUGCAAGUAGCACGCAGGGUUGCCUCGAAACAUCAUCAGCUCUCAGUACAGACCUGUUGCUGUUCCCUUCUGCCAAGGCAUGAGGAGAGCAUGAGGAGAUCCAGCACUCUGCCUCUCUGCUCUCUAAAUGCUGGGUUUUUUCUGGAGAGCUCUGGGAGACGUUUGCCUUGCAGAAACACACCAGGGAGCUGGCGAGAGAUGACGAAACACCAAACUGAAAUCAGUUUCAAGGUAGGAGUCUGAGGCCAGCGUCCAUCACUGGGAGCAGAUUGGGGCUGGGUUUCAGCAGCUUUGUUGGCUCUGUGAGUGGGCAGUGAAGUGUUCUGGACAGAGGAGCCUGUGGCACCUCGAGCUGGGCUGAGCUGUAUCCCCAGCCAGCUGGGGUUAAGUGCAAACCUCUCCAGCCAGCUGCCUUGGAAAGUGUUUCAAGGCUUCCCAAGUGCUGCAGGAGAGCAAGGUACUCCCCAUCUUUGCCUGGUGCCAUCCCCACCGUUGGCUCAGGUGCUGUGCCUGUCCUUGUCACGCACGCAGCACACACUUUUCCCCCUGCAGGAAGACACUGGCUGUGCCUCUGGGGCCCUGCUCCUCUGAACGUGUAGGUACAGGCUCCACUUUCCUGGUGUGGAUCUCAGGUGUGUGUGCAGCUGAACACAGAAACCUGAAAAAGCUUCAGAGCUGAGUGCCCAGCCCAGCAGGGGAACAGAGACCUGCGCCCACCUGGACCUCUCUGCGUUUCCCAAGGAUGCUGAGCUCUGGGAACGGGGUGUGUGUUGGGGGAACAGAACACAAUAGCCCAUAUUGGCUUCUCUUGGCUUUACUAGGAGGAUAGAGAAACCAGGACCCCUUCAAUGGCUCCAGAUCUCUGCAGAGUGAUCAGUGAAAUUUGGAAUGAGUUCUUCAUCGUCAGAGGCAAGAUGAAAAAAUCAUCUUUUCUCUUGAAGUACUCCCGUCUCUCCACCCUCAAGAACAAUAAAGAACUGACUAAGAGCAGCUCAAAUUAAAUUUAAGAUCUAGUAUCCCUCCCUUCCUUAGAGCCAAGCAUUUUUCUCCCUAUUCCUCCCUAUUAAUAUGCUAUAAGAACAUCUCUUUUUUUCACUCAACCCCUGAUUUGUCCUGCAAGUGCCUAACAGAGAAUAUCUGAUGGUGUGCAAUAGAUGUUUUACUGCUGUGAAUUUGGGAGGGGUGUUCUGUGUACGUGUACACAGGUUAAAGUAAUUUUUUAUCCCUUACCUAAAGAGAAUGAUGUAUAUUCCUCUCUCUGUAUCUAGUCAUCUACUGGACUGAAGUUCUGGCAAUCUAAUUUUGCCAGCUCUCCUUAUGGUAAGAUCAGAGGUUUUCAAACCUUUUCCUGAUUUUUCAGACUCUACCAUGUUUCCUGGGGAGGUGUCCUCAGCCCACCAUGUUCAGGCUACCAGCAACAGGCUUGGUUUGGUUGUGAGUUCAUGGUCUAUCUUAAACUCUGCAGGCUGCAAACUGAGGGUUUAUAUUUUGGAUUAUUUAUAUUAAUAUUUUCUCAGUGCAAUUGUAUGUUGCUGAGUGUCAUGGAGCCACAAAACAAGGAUUAAAUAAUAGUUCAUCACAAGCUGUAGAUGCUGCAGCACUUUGGGCUGCUGGGAGCAAAUCCUGGUUGAAAGGAGCAGUGUCUGCUCUGUGUCCACUUCUCACUGGUUUUUAUGGCUGCUGUGCUCUCACAAGUGUUUCUGUGGCUGACUGCGGCACUAAUCCGGUUUGAGAAGAACACUCUCUUCCCAAUCCUUUUCUUUCCCCCUUUUUCUUAUCCCCUCAGGUUAGCUUUAGCCUGGGCCUGCCUAGCUCCUUCCUGAGAGCUUGUUAGAGACUGAUUACUGAAGUUUUGAUGAAAGCUUCAUUGUUUGUAACCCCUGUAAAGUACCCCGAGCUGUGCUCCCAAUAAAAGCGGGAUUAAAUAGACACCUCCGGAGUGAGACAGUUGCAAGUGGGAAUUUCAGAGUUUUGAAGGAUUGAGGGAUGUGGCCAGGCUUCAGUAACUCUGUGUAUCAGAAGUGAUUUUACCAGAACUGGGAAAGAAGCCUGACUUUUGUGUUUAGGGGGGAAAGGAACCUGGUGGGAGACAGAAGUCACCUGUUUGUGGCUGGAUUAAGCACACGCUCCGGGGGUUUGGAAACACGUUUGCAGAAGUUCUCAGCACCCUGCAUUCCUCCAGCCUCUCCUCAGGCUUAAGUUCAUAAAAAAGUAUUUUAAAAUUCUCACUCUGAUCACAUGAAUUGAAUCCUUCCUUGUUUUAUUUUUUGCAACAGUAAAAAAGUCCACUUGGCAAUGAUGUGUGCUUGACUUGGUACUUUUGGGUUGUGUCUUUUCUGGGAGGAAUGUUAAGCAAAGGGCUUCAUCCCUUCUGCCUAGAGCAAGAAACUGACCUGGGCUGAAAUAAAGAAUCUCUGUGCUUUUUGAAUGUUUUUUUUUGUGUGUAAUGGGAUAUUUGAAAUAGAGUUUGGUGCUCUGGGCUGGUUAUUCUAUAGUGAUCACUCCUACAGGGUCCAAAAUCUUUUGGUCCUUAUUCGUCUGAAUGAGCCACCUCCACUCUGGAACGAGUAAUAGAAACAGAAAAACAUAAAUUUAUGGUCAGCUAAGGUAAAAAAUAAUCAAAACUGUUAGUAGAUAAAGGCAGUGGCUGCCAUCACCACCACCACAAGGAAAUGGAGGAGUAUUAAAUUAGUAUUUCUUUUCUAUGUUUG